UGAAGGAUGAAGGCGUUCUGCGUUGUAAACUUCUUUUAUUAGGGAAGAAACCGCUGAUUUCUAUUAGCGUUGACGGUACCUAAGGAAUAAGCACCGGCUAACUCCGUGCCAGCAGCCGCGGUAAUACGGAGGGUGCAAGCGUUAUCCGGAUUUACUGGGUUUAAAGGGUGCGCAGGCGGGCCGUUAAGUCAGUGGUGAAAUCUCCGGGCUCAACCCGGAAACUGCCGUUGAUACUAUCGGUCUUGAAUACUGUUGAGGUGGGCGGAAUAGGUCAUGUAGCGGUGAAAUGCAUAGAUAUGACCUGGAACCCCAAUUGCGAAGGCAGCUCACUAAGCAGCAUAUUGACGCUCAUGCACGAAAGCGUGGGGAUCAAACAGGAUUAGAUACCCUGGUAGUCCACGCCCUAAACGA
rnacentral:rRNA from 1 species